AAACCAGCACCUCAAGUGGUCAGGAGGAUUAUUGGGCCUAAAGCAUCCGUAGCCUGUUCUAUAAGUUUCCGGUUAAAUCCACUAGCUCAACUAGUGGGCUGCCGAAAAUACUGUAGAACUAGGGAGUGGGAGAGGUAGACGGUAUUCGGUAGGAAGGGGUAAAAUCCUUUGAUCUAUUGAUGACCACCUGUGGCGAAGGCGGUCUACCAGAACACGUCCGACGGUGAGGGAUGAAAGCUGGGGGAGCAAACCGGAUUAGAAACCCCGGUAGUCC
rnacentral:rRNA from 1 species